rnacentral:rRNA from 1 species
GAUCAACGCUGGCGGCGUGCAUGAGACAUGCAAGUCGAACGAAGGAUCGGGCUUGCUCGAUCCUUAGUGGCGGACGGCUGAGUAACGCGUAGGUGACCUACCCCGAAGUGGGGAAUAACUGCCCGAAAGGGUGGCUAAUACCGCAUGUGGUCGCACGUUCAUUCGUGCGAGUAAAGCCGCAAGGCGCUUCGGGAGGGGCCUGCGUCCGAUUAGCUCGUUGGUGGGGUAAUGGCUUACCAAGGCGACGAUCGGUAGGUGGUCUGAGAGGACGAUCACCCAGACUGGGACUGAGACACGGCCCAGACUCCUACGGGAGGCAGCAGUCGGGAAUUUUGCUCAAUGGGGGAAACCCUGAAGCAGCAACGCCGCGUGAGGGAUGAAGGCCUUCGGGUUGUAAACCUCUUUUGUCAGGGACGAUGAUGACGGUACCUGGCGAAUAAGCCACGGCUAACUACGUG